AGUAACACGUGGGUAACCUGCCUUAUAGUGGGGGAUAGCCUUUCGAAAGGAAGAUUAAUACCGCAUAAGAUUGUAGUAUCGCAUGAUAUAGCAAUUAAAGGAGCAAUUCGCUAUAAGAUGGACCCGCGUCGCAUUAGCUAGUUGGUGAGGUAACGGCUCACCAAGGCGACGAUGCGUAGCCGACCUGAGAGGGUGAUCGGCCACAUUGGGACUGAGACACGGCCCAGACUCCUACGGGAGGCAGCAUG
rnacentral:rRNA from 1 species